GUUAAAGACACCUAUCUGAUUUAUUUUAAAAGGUCCUCUGGCUACGAUGAGAUGAGAAGAAUGGGUUGGAGAGCUGAAUGGUGGGAACGAGAUAGGUUUGGAAGUUUGAGACGGUCUGAGCAAGAGAUGGAGGCGGCUUGGACUAGGGUGUGGCCAUGAGAAUAUCAGGAAGCAAGACCGGAUGAGCAGAGUGGAGUCAGGUCACGAGGACUCAUAAACAUCAGGUUAAGGAAAUCACACUUUAUCCUGAGAGUAUUCAGAGAAAAGCAUUUAAGAUCCUGAAUUAGGAUUACAUCAGGUGAAAUGUAACAGAAAACUUAACUCGCAGUGGCUUAUGCAAACAGAUUUAUUUUCUCAUAUAAACAGGAAUGUAUACAUAGUAUCACUUGGCUAGCUGCUCACACAAAUGUCAGAAGCCACAUCUUGGUCUUUCCCGCAUGGUUGAAAAAUGAUUGCUUCAGCUCCUGCAAUCACAUUUAAGGAGUUAUGUCGGUAACCUGGUCCACCAACCACAGUAGAUUUUAACAGGCAAUGAUAAACACUUGCACAAAUCACUUCCACUAUUUUUUUACUGGCUACAACUCCUUUCUCUAAAGAAAGAGUGAAAAAAAGAAAAGAUGUGGCUUUUUCCAGACUUUAUCAUUCAAGAUAUACGAACUGCUAGAGUUCUCGAACUAGUAAGCAACAUCCUCAAAAAGGUGCAGGCUGGGGUCAUUGGCAAAAGCGAAAAGAGAAGAACUGAAAUAGUGAACAGUUAAGAGCUCUCACUGCAAUCAGUGAGCGGAAGAAAUGAACUGAAAUGAAGAAAGAAGAAAGGAAGAGUUUAAUUUAAAGAACAUGUCUACUCAGAGCUGUAGGCAGAGAGAUGUGCUUCUGUGCUGUUAUGUUAACACAGAUCAUCUUUGCAAGGAUAGAGAAAUGCACAUAAGUAAACAUGCUUCUCUGCAGAUUGCCUUCGUUCUCCUCUGGAUCCAUGACCAUGACCUUUAUUCAUUCAUUCAGCAACUACCAACCGAGCCCUUCCUUUGUGCAGGGCAAUGUGGCAGACCCUACAGGGGACAUAGCACAAGUCAGGCACAAGUUCUACCCUUAAGGAACUGACAGAGUAGAAGACACAAGCCCCCAAGUAGCUAAGAUGCAAGUAAGCGCAUGAUAAAUGUCAGCGAAUUACACAAGCUCACAAGAGGAAGUAUUACCUUAGCCACAGAGAUAAGAGGUAGCCUCCUGGAGAAGAUGGUGUUUAAAUUUGUUCUUAAAGACUCCAUAAGACAAGGGGAGAGGUAUAGGCAGGAGCAUUCUUGGCUCCUUAGCUAGGAAGAAUGGUGGAAAACAGCUGAUCUAAAGAACUGGUUUUAUUUUGCAGACUAGAAAAUAUGUACUGGACUACCGAAGGUGAGGUGCUCUGCUAGAUCCUGAGUUUCUACAGGUGAUUGUGUCUGUGUGUCUGUGCUUCAGAUAUGUGUGCCUGUUGUGAGCAUGUGUAUGGGUCACUGUGUGUAUAAGGCCAUGUCUCCCCUUAUGUUUUAAUAACUGGCAUUUCGGUGUGUUCGUUCACACCAGCCUGAGUGUUUGUACUUACAUGUGACCAGCAGGUGGCAUCACAAAAUCACAACUAGCAAGACAAGUCCCACCUUCUUCCAGCCAAGGAGCGCUUCAGAGAUCACUAGGCCCUUGUAGAGGCCGGAGAUGUCCGCCUCCUUCCAUCAUAAGCAUUGUUUACCAUUGUGGUCCCUAGCCUAGUACAAGACCUGACAGACUGAAGAUGAUAAAUAUGUAUGGAAUGAACUGAUAAAAUGCUAGCACAUGCCCCCUGGGAGAAGUGGGAGCUAGCUAGGGGAAGACAGCAGUACAGAGAGGCUGGGCCAGAAGCAAAGACCCCCACCGGAAGUGCAUUUCAGUCACACUCAGAUAGCACGGGGUGGGGGGUACCGAAAAAAUCAGCUCAGCCUGAGGGUUCCCCUCUUCAUAAUGAGGCCUCUGACCCUGACCCUUGACUUCAGGUGACUUAUUUGGUGCCUAGCAAGCACUAAGACCUGGGGGAAACACCACCUCUGCCCACCGAGAGCUUACAACACAGGAAAAGACCUAAAGCUUAUUUUACAAUGACAGCCGAUGCAACCCCGCCCUCCACGGCUGAGGAAGCUCCUUCCUACCCUACACGAGAAGGGCUGCUCCGCGCAGGACUGAGCCAUGCACAGAAAGGUCCUCCUGGCCCAGGGGACCUCUAAACCCUGGCACCUUCUCCCUGACCGCCCAACCCACCCAACCAGCCCAGUCGCCUUAGAAGACUGUUCCUCUCUGCCAUCCUCCCUCUGCCGGGUUCCCAAAGUCUCACCCUUUUCCAGAGCCUAAACCUGUAUGCUCCCCCCGCUUUCGUCAGUCUGUCCAGAAGGAAGAGGCCUCUACCUGCCACUCACAUUGUCCCCACCUGAGAACUGCAGCCCAUGUGUGCAUCACAACUAGGACCAACAGAGACAUAUUCAGGAGUUCCCAUCUCAGACCCGCCGCACCUUGCGAGAAACCGGAAGUGCAAAACCCGGACGCGGUUGGUGUGUGGAGUCCUGGCCUGGUAUCCAGAACCAGUUUGACACGGAGCAGCUCCGAACACACACAGGAGGAAACAACGACCUAGUCUGCAGAGACCCAGUACUACGAGACCCAGCUCCAGGAACUGGGGGCAGCCCGGGGUACACAGCGCUGAGGCUCUCCCAGGACAGCAUGAAAACAGAAGUUACACAGAGCACCUGUCAAGGGCCAGGUGCCCCGGCCCCAGCUCCACCCCCUCAGGCUCCCGGCCUCCUCAGUGCUCCAGGACCGACCUUUCAGAAAACCUCUCUCCUUUCUCCCCUCCCCUGUACGUUCCUCCCUUCCCCUUGCCUUCCUUCCCCUGCUGUCCCAUUAAACCCCGGAGCUCCUGCCCACAAGUCCCUGGGGAGAAGAUAGCAGGGCUCAGAGAUCCCACCCUCCUCCUGAGCCCAGGGUGAGGAAGCAAUUACUGGUGGUCACAGUCGUGGUCAGUUCCUGUUUCUACAGCAAAAAGGCCAUAAUCUGUUCCUUUUUCUAGUGAAAGAAUGUCGUUUUGACAUCCAGAAUAUCUAGAA